rnacentral:rRNA from 1 species
UACGGAGGGCGCAAGCGUUGUUCGGAAUCACUGGGUGUAAAGCGCGUGUAGGCGGCUUGGCAAGUCGGGUGUGAAAUCCCGAGGCUCAACCUCGGAACUGCACUCGAAACUGCUUGGCUAGAGUCCCGGAGAGGGUGGCGGAAUUCCCGGUGUAGGGGUGAAAUCCGUAGAUAUCGGGAGGAACACCAGUGGCGAAGGCGGCCACCUGGACGGUGACUGACGCUGAGACGCGAAAGCGUGGGGAGCAAACAGG